GGCACAGCGGACAACCUAUGCAACAAAAGCUUGCUGCAGAGCCGAGCGACUGUCCAACCACUCAGCGGACACACACACACGGAGACAGCGAUUGACACGACCCGGCGAGGUACGACUGCAGGGCCAGCGUUAGAUUGCAGCCUGGACCAACAUCGACGUCUCAACGACAUUUAUGAAGCUUUCAAGGCCUUUUGAUUGAUCAGCCAAUCGAUGGGGAUUUUACGAGGAGCUCCGCCCACCUUCGCUGCCUGCCCUCCUUCUCCCCCCUCCAUCUGCGGCCCCUCCCUUGCCCCAGCCCACUCCGUCAUCCAGCCCUCCAUCCAGCCCUCUAUACACAAAAUGACUCUGGAAUUUACUGAAUGGUCUUCUAUAUGGAUUUUUACUGCUUGUAAUAGACAGUAAACAAAGAAAAGAGGGAGAAACCUCAAUGACAAAUAAGCCAUAAACACACACACACCACACAUACACACUCACAUACACACAAACACAUGCACACCCCAUUCACACACUAACAGGCAUGUAAGGCACUGACAUACCAAAUAGAGUUGUUUUUUUCAGGCAGGAUCUCGCACACCUGACACACACACACGAAGAAGCAAACGCACAAACUUACUCUUGGAAUGUAUCGCACACUCUUCCUGUGAAAAUUCGACCGCUUCCUUUUUAUUUCUGGGGUUUUCUACAAGUCUUUGGAAAGCUGAUUUUAAUAUUUUUUUCGACUCUGGGGGGGAAAACAAGGAGGCGAGAGAAAGGAUUAAAACGUGUUGAAUUUCAAGCUGCCGUGUUUUUGAAGGACAAGUUCUCUUUAGGGCGACUU